rnacentral:tRNA from 1 species
GCAGGGAGGUUCACAUGGUAGAGCAUUCGGCUCAUAACCGAACGGUCUCGGGUUCGAUCCCCCGGCCCCGCACCA